UACUCCCCUACACCCCAGGCUGUGCAGAGAUGAAGCGGUCCAAUUCCAAAUACUUCUGACGAACUCCUUCCCACAAUUUUAUGCUCCUAAACUGAAUGCCCACAACGAGCUGCAGCAAGAAGGCAAGCACGGCAAAGUGUCCAACACCCUCUAUCACGUAGUAUGGGAAAGUGACGGCACCGACGUACCAUCCAUCAACGAACCAAGCGUCGAGCAGUGGGAGGACCGGCAAGCUAGCCCGGGCCCUGACGACCAGGCGAGCCUGGUGGACAGCGCGCGGUGGUCGGCGAGAACCCACGGCGUCCUGGACUGAGGACGCCGCCCACCUAGGGGGAAAGGUAUUAAGCAAUGCAAAGAUGAAAAAGAAGGAGAAGGACCACUGGGGGUGCCGCUUUAUUCUGAUGUGCGCAUCGACACUGCAGUUGGUCCGCGAGAUCUGCUAAGGCGCCGACUCUCACGUUCCCUGGACUGAAACUCGGGAUCCUCGACUUGGCGUCGCAUCUUCUCAGCCGCAGCUUCGGCGUGGUGUUCCGGAUGAGCUUGGCGUCAACGCAUCGCUUCUCGCUUGGCAGUACGGCGCUC